rnacentral:rRNA from 1 species
ACACUCCUACGGGAGGCAGCAGUAGGGAAUCUUCCACAAUGGGUGCAAACCUGAUGGAGCAAUGCCGCGUGAGUGAAGAAGGUCUUCGGAUCGUAAAGCUCUGUUGUUAGAGAAGAACACGUGCUAGGUAACUACUAGCGCCUUGACGGUAUCUAACCAGAAAGUCACGGCUAACUACGUGCCAGCAGCCGCGGUAAUACGUAGGUGACAAGCGUUGUCCGGAUUUAUUGGGCGUAAAGGGAGCGCAGGCGGUCUGUUUAGUCUAAUGUGAAAGCCCACGGCUUAACCGUGGAACGGCAUUGGAAACUGACAGACUUGAAUGUAGAAGAGGAAAAUGGAAUUCCAAGUGUAGCGGUGGAAUGCGUAGAUAUUUGGAGGAACACCAGUGGCGAAGGCGAUUUUCUGGUCUAACAUUGACGCUGAGGCUCGAAAGCGUGGGGAGCGAACAGGAUUAGAUACCCUGGUAGUCCCAUG